rnacentral:rRNA from 1 species
UACGUAGGGUGCGAGCGUUAAUCGGAAUACUGGGCGUAAAGCGUGCGCAGGCGGUCUGUUAAGACCGAUGUGAAAUCCCCGGGCUAACCUGGGAACUGCAUUGGUGACUGGCAGGCUUUGAGUGUGGCAGAGGGGGGUAGAAUUCCGACGUGUAGCAGUGAAAUGCGUAGAGAUGUGGAGGAAUACCGAUGGCGAAGGCAGCCCCCUGGGCCAACACUGACGCUCAUGCACGAAGCGUGGGAGCAAACAGG